UUGGACCCCCGGUACACUGAGCUUCUUAACUGAGCACGUAUCGGAUCUAGGGUGCGCGAGCCACGGUCUUAUACC
rnacentral:rRNA from 1 species